AUGGUUGGGACUACCUUCUUCCUGCUGCUGGUUCUGCUGGGCGCAUCACUUGCAGAUGCCUCCCAGGAGGACCAGCUCAGGAAGUUCAUCUUGUCCACGGCCAAGAAGAGGCAAGCUUUAAGGGCCAGUAGUGCGAACGUGCCCGAGGAAACCGACCCAUGGGCCGACGCCAGCAGCUUCAGCCACCUGCCAACGCAAUUUCCGUUCCCACCUCUGGGCGCCAAGGCGGCCGACAAGAUCGCUGCGCUGCCCGGCCAGCCGCCGCGGGUCAACUUCGACCAGUACUCCGGCUACGUCACGGUGAGCGAGAAGCACGGCCGGGAGCUCUUUUACUACUUCGUCGAGGCCCCCUACGAGGCGGCCUCCAAGCCGCUCCUCCUCUGGCUCAACGGUGGGCCCGGGUGCUCGUCGCUCGGGUACGGCGCCAUGACGGAGCUCGGCCCGUUCCGAGUGAACCCCGACGGCAAGACCCUGAGCAGGAACAAGCAUGCCUGGAACAACCUGGCUAACGUGAUCUUCCUGGAGUCACCGGCCGGCGUGGGGUUCUCCUACGCGAGCAACAACCCGAACAAUAACGACAACGUUGGCGACCCGAGAACCGCCAAGGACGCGUUCGUCUUCCUGCUCAAAUGGCUGGAGCGGUUCCCGGAGUACAAGGGCCGCGACUUCUACAUCGCCGGAGAGAGCUACGGCGGCCACUACGUGCCGCAGCUCGCCACCGUGAUCGAAUACAUGAACGAGCUCUACGGCGCCACUCUCAUAAACCUCCGCGGCAUCUUGGUCGGCAAUCCGUACCUUGACGAUUUCAUGAACGACAAGGGGAGCCUCGAGUUCUUAUGGAACCACGGGGUGAUCUCCGACGAGGGGUGGGCCAAUAUCCGUGAAAACUGCACCUUCACCUCGAAAGACGACUGGCAGUGCUUCGUGGCGUCGCGCAAGCCCCGGAUAGGCAACAUCGAUCUCCACAACAUAUACGCCCCGAUCUGCCUCAAGUCGGAACGUGACGGCACGUACCACUCGUCCGGCUACCUGGCUGGCUACGAUCCGUGCAUCGACCACUACGUCCUGGCUUACCUCAACAAUGGCGAGGUGCAACAAGCUCUGCACGCCCGGGCCAACACAAGUUGGACAGCUUGCAGCCCAGACUUGGACUAUAACGACGGCCCAGUUUCCAUGGUGCCAACCAUCAGAAGGCUAGUCAAACGUGGGUUAAGUGUAUGGCUCUAUAGUGGGGAUAUGGAUGAUGUGUGCCCCAUUACCGCGACGAGGUACUCCGUCAACGAUCUCAACCUACCCAUCACGAAGCCAUGGCGCCCUUGGUACACCCCAGACAGCGAGGUUGGAGGCUAUGUUCAGCAGUACAAGGGAGGCUUCACGUUUGCAUCAGUGAGGGGUGCUGGCCAUCUGGUUCCUAGUUACCAGCCAAAGAGAGCGCUUGUUCUUCUCUACUCUUUCCUCAAGGGCGUACUCCCACCAGCCGACAUCCCAAAAUGA
rnacentral:rRNA from 1 species